AAAUCACUCUCACUUUAUAGUAUCUAUCUCUCAUAAGCUCAGAUGAUAUAUCUUCGCUUACUCCAUUUCUCACCAAAAAUUUUCAAAUCUUUUUACUCUCAAAUUUUUCCUAAGACAGCCUCAAGCGCUUACCGUCAGCACCAUCUAUUGCAAUGACGCAACACCAAUUAUGCCCAUGAUACAAGGUAAGCCUAUGGUUGUAACCUUUUGUGCCAACUCUAAAGAUCAAAUCCUAUCAAUACUUAAGGAGAGGCUCUUGAUGCUUCCAUAUAUUGUCUUCCAGCAGCAAGCAUUCAGCAACAAGCAUUACAACUUUGUGCUAAAAAAGUUGCAAUUGCAUUUCGAGAUAUGCAAAAGGCUUUUUGUGUUUGUAGUUUGUUCCAAGAGUUCGAUGGAAAUUCCAGAAGCAAAAUUAAGAGAAUGUGGAAGCAACCUGAGUUCGCCAUUGGUGGAGGGGGAGCUCGUUAGUUAGUAAACAACUUUAGCUCUUGAAAUCUUUCAAUCACAACAAAAUAAUACUUGCAGUUUUUGGUGGUGGAAAGAAGGAUACAACUGUUGGGGAGGUGUGUUUUUCCUUAAUGCUUGACAUUAAUUGAAAUGCUUGACUUAAUUAUUAGUUGCAUAAAUUGAUAUUUAAAGGUGUUACAUUGGUGCAACUAAAUAAAUCUUAUAUGGACAUCUACAAAUCAACAUUGAUACCACCACUUGGAAUUUUGGAAUUCUCAAGCAUGUGUAAAGUGCUAAAUGACCAAGUAAGUAGAGUAUACCUAUUCUUAAGUUUGAGUUCAGUUCUUGUAAACUAGCUUUAAGUUAAAAUCUAUACUCAGAAUAUCUAAUUGCUUUAAAUUUGAACUUACAGCCUCCUCUCACGAGAAAAAAGUUUUUUGACCCAAAAGAUGAUGACCUGGAUUCCAUGUUCGUAAAGAAAAGGAUUUUAUCUAUGUUUCAUUGAGUAGAUUCUUUAGCUUUAUUAGUGUCUUUAGAUUAUUUUAUAUUAUAUUUUAUAAUCUAAUGUUCUUUUACUUUUCUUAUUUUAGGAAUAGCGAACUUGUUGGAGCAUGCUUUUUGCUAGAGUAACAAAUUUGGAUAAAGGAGCAUUCUUUAUGUAAAAUUUGAGAUUGAAUGCAGUAAACUUUGUUGCUGUAUACUUUUGUAAAAUUUUUUAUAACAUCAAAGUUUAGUGAUCAAUAUAUUCUGAAGUUUGCUGUAAAAUUUACAUGGUUUGUACUUUAUAGGUUGCUGUUGUUGCAUGUUAGAAUGUUGUAUGUAUUGUUAUGUAUACCUUUUAGCUGCAUAUUUUAAACGAUGUCAUAGGUUUUAGGAUUGUAGCCAUAUGCUAAAUGGCUACAUAUUAAUUUUGUUGGA